rnacentral:sRNA from 1 species
UUACGGGUUGGCCGACGGCCCGCCGAGU